UAAGGAAUAUUGGUCAAUGGAGGCAACUCUGAACCAGCCAUGCCGCGUGCAGGAAGACGGCCCUCUGGAUUGUAAACUGCUUUUAUUCGGGAAUAAACCUAUCUACGUGUAGAUAGCUGAAUGUACCGAAGGAAUAAGGAUCGGCUAACUCCGUGCCAGCAGCCGCGGUAAUACGGAGGAUCCAAGCGUUAUCCGGAUUUAUUGGGUUUAAAGGGUGCGUAGGCGGCCUAUUAAGUCAGGGGUGAAAGACGGUAGCUCAACUAUCGCAGUGCCCUUGAUACUGAUAGGCUUGAAUGGACUAGAGGUAGGCAGAAUGUGACGAGUAGCGGUGAGAUGCAUAGAUAUGUCACAGAACACCGAUUACGAAGGCAGCUUACUAUGGUUUUAUUGACGCUGAGGCACAGAAGCGUGAGGAUCAAGCA
rnacentral:rRNA from 1 species